CCGUCGAUAGCUCAGUUGGUAGAGCGGUGGACUGUAGAUCCAUAGGUGAUGGUUCGAAUCCGGCUCGACGGA
rnacentral:tRNA from 1 species